GCAAAAAUGAACUAGGGCUUUGUACUCGUAUAUUCUUUGAUCAGCAGAUGAGGAUGAAAAGGAACCAGGUGUUUUUAUUACUGAAAUUAUUGAAGGAGGUGCAAUCCACAAACUUGGAUGCAUCCAAGUAUUUGACCAGAUUAUUAAAAUAGGUGACUCCAAUCUAAUUGGAUUAGAUGAACAAGGAAUCUUUACUUUAAAAAAAAAUGGAAAAUUGUGUUUUCCAGAUUGAAAUUGGACGAGAACCACCUCAAGUCAAGUCAGAACUCAUCAUACUCCUCCAGUUGUCAGAGGAAAGGAAGAAAUAUUUUAUGGAUUCAUUCAUAGUUAAGGAAAAAGUUGGAGAUAUCCAUAUUGUGAAAGGAGAAGCAAGAAACUAUAAGACUUCACCAAUAGCAUGGCUCUGGAUCAUCAGAUACAAGAAUCAAAAAGGAAGAAAAAGCAGAAGAAAUAGUAUUAGAAGAAGAGAUUAGCAGUGCCAAACUUAACAAGGAAAAGGCUCAAAGGAGAUUUUUCUGCAAUGGCAAAGAACACAAUUGGUGGAACUCCUUUUAUUUUAAAAAAUAUAAGCAAAUAAAGAAUGUGUAUAAGCUCGAAAAAACUGAUCAAAAGGUAAGUUUUCAUUAUGUUAAAUUUGUCAUAAAAUGCAUGUGGGGUUUUUUGUGUGUUUGCCCACUUUAAUUACUAGAUAUUAAGUGUGUGUUUUCUGAUUUUAAUUGUUUUCCCUUUUUAAUUACUAUGUUUUGAGCUUUUUUUAAAAAUAAAAAUCCCUUACCUUCUGUCUUAGAAUCA
rnacentral:lncRNA from 1 species